UCGCAGAGGCCUCCCACCUUCUAAUGAGAAUGUGACGGCUCCUUCUGCCUUUGGCUGCCGCCUCCUGGGGGUCUUCCAGGCAGACCCCUUCUCCACCAUGUAGGACUUGGAGUUCUGGCCUGGGUAUCAAGAACUGGUGCUGGGGUUUGACUUCACUGGGAAAAGCAGGAGGGCAGAUUCAUUCAGCAUUUGCUCCGUACUGAGUGGUGCCUUGCUAACUGCUUUUUACUGUCCUGUUUAAUGCCCGCAGCGACCCCACAGCCCCAUUUUACAGAUCAGGAAAGAGCUGAGAGUUUAAGCGUGGUGCCUCAGGCCGCAUGCAGGCACGCGGUGGAGUCAGGGUUCCAAACUGAUGCCAACCCAGAGCUCGGACUUGCUGCAGGAAAGGACACCUUCCACUGUGGCCUGUCCGGGGAGGACGUUAACCGAAUGCCGAGCCAGCUAGUGACCCAUCUCCCAAAUCACAGCUGCAGGAGGUGAUGUGCUCUCACAGAAGCAGGUGACAGGUGGGAACACAAGGAGGCGGCGACUCUGCAGAGUAAGUUCCUCCGUUAUUCUUGGAAGAAGCAUUGGUCUAACGGUUUUUCACAGUCAGCGGUGAAAAUAUAAUUGAAGAGCAGUAUUCCACUGCGAAUGGCGUGGAAGAACGGUGUGGUUGAAGCACGCAGACACAGCAGCCUCUUCCCUGAUGGUGUGGGGAGCAGCAGGAGAGCCAAGGCCAUUGCCAGCCCAGCACCCGGGAGGUGCCGCCCAGAUGCCAGAGAGCAAAAGGCAGUGCACCUCUGAGCUCGCCAGCUGAGACAUCUUGUUUUUGUUUUCUCCGUGAAUGAUCACGGAUGCGCCAUCCAGGUUCUGACCAACACGGUGCAGCUCCUACAACCACGUAGCCUAUGGAUGGCGAAGCCCAGAGGCCGCGGGGCAGUCGCUGGGAGGUGCGGCUCAGAGGAGAGGACCUCCGUACACCUUCCAGCAAUAAAAGCAUCUGGUGGACGCCGCUAUGGAGGCUCUGGUUGC